GUCGCGAUAAGAAUAAAUGGGAGUUCGCCGGGCCUGCCUCCCGGAAGUGUUGGUUCGAAUCCAGCUGGCGACA
rnacentral:tRNA from 1 species